ACUCUGCUUGUCCCCUCGCGGCUGCACAGGCCACUGAUCUCACCGCUGAAAACAAAAGACUGGACAUCUUUCUGACCUUGUGGGAUUGUCCACGCCCAUCUUUUUCCCUCCCUCGUUUAUUUUCUCCUUUCUCUCUGGUUGUCUCUCUCCCCCUCUCACCGCAGUCAAAAGACAAGUGAUCAAUCAUUAAAAAUUGUCGUGGACUCGCGGUGCGGGGAUUGUCAGGAAGCCCACCUCUGUAGAAGACAGGCUAAACUCAUGAUGUGAAAAACAUGCUGUGAGUGAGAGAGUGUGAGGGGGCUGCUGUUGUUCAGUCGCAUCUCCAGCCUUGUCAUUCAUGCUAACAAGCCUCACCAACAACACUGACAUCAAUGAUGCUGGCUUCUCUUUGCCACAGACUAGACAUGAGUCAGACUUGAAAAUGUGGUGCAUGUUUGCAGCACUUUGCAGAUGAGGUAUCCAGUGAAAAGGGGCCUGUGUAAUUAAAGAUUUAUUCCUUGAUUUCUUAGCAAUCAGAAGCUUUCGUUGCAUUUUAAACGACACCAGACCGGUGACAGUAAGAACAGAAACACAUUUUUGAUUCAGGCGUGAAGGUUUCUCUUUUUACACCAGGACAUUGUUGUCUGCAGAUUCAGUAGACAAAGCUUGAGUCAGACUCCCAUCCCACACAAAGGAUAAAUUCAGACAUAAAAUUCCCCCUAUGUAGCACAAGGCUUGCCUUUAGCUUCCUUGAUGAUGGUGGGGGUAAAAAGGGUGACAGGUCUUACAAUGACCCCUGGAAUGACCUUGUUGGGUAACAUUUCACAUCCUGCCAGUGUUUCUUCUCCCAGGUGUGGCAGAGACUCCCCCUGUGCUGUCAGAGAGCACCGUCCCCAUCCAUGGAACCAAUCAUUCUUUGGCAUCAUGGAAACAGCUUCUGACAGCCGCGGUCGCCACGGGCGUCCUCCCCUGUGACCAUCCUCGACGGGGGACCGCAGAGGUAGAGAUGCACUGCGCGAGAUGAAAAGCAGGCAGACGCUUUGAUAGAUGGUGGGCUCCUGCAAAACAGAGCAAACAGGAGACUCGUCUACCAGCCAGUGGUUAAAGCACCGUCAGUGGAAGAUUUCAACCUCCCAUGACAAAUACAGAAACAUCACUUGUUAGGUUAGGAGCAAUUUGGAAUAAGAUCCUGUGCCUAAGUCAGGAGCAAUCAAUGAAAAAUAAUACAAAUAGUCAAAUUCAAAAGACUCUUUAUGAGCAUUAUAAGUACAAUGUUCUAUAAUGUGUAAUAAUCAUUAUGAUAAUCAAUGUUAAUGUUGUCAUUUAUGAUCCUAUUUAGUGUAAAAACACUGACAAAGUAAGUUGUGAAGUUUACUACUUUUACAACAGUUUGUCAUCCAUAUAUGCCCUGUUAAAGACUGAAAUUGUUCUGUUCAAUAAAUGAAGCCCACACAAUACGGCGACAUCUACUUUUACAGCCUGUGUGUGCUUGUUAAUCUACUC